rnacentral:rRNA from 1 species
AUUGAACGCUGGCGGCAUGCCUUACACAUGCAAGUCGAACGGCAGCGGACCUUCGGGUGCCGGCGAGAGGCGAACGGGUGAGUAAUAUAUCGGAACGUACCUUUUAGUGGGGGAUAACGUAGCGAAAGUUACGCUAAUACCGCAUAUUCUGUGAGCAGGAAAGCAGGGGAUCGCAAGACCUUGCGCUGAUUGAGCGGCCGAUAUCAGAUUAGCUAGUUGGUGAGGUAAAGGCUCACCAAGGCGACGAUCUGUAGCGGGUCUGAGAGGAUGAUCCGCCACACUGGAACUGAGACACGGUCCAGACUCCUACGGGAGGCAGCAGUGGGGAAUUUUGGACAAUGGGCGCAAGCCUGAUCCAGCCAUGCCGCGUGAGUGAAGAAGGCCUCGG